rnacentral:lncRNA from 1 species
GAGAUAACAAGAUUUCUCCUUCGCAAAGGACCUUGCUGUUCUCCCGGCUAACAAGCUUUAACGACCAGGCAGAAUCAUUUCAUACAUGGAAAGCCAGCUUUAAAAAUCUCAUAGACGAACUACAAGUUUCUGACUCGGAACAAAUAGACUUACUAAUUAAGUGGCUAGGGCCAGAGUCUGGUAAACAUGCCAUAAGUAUUAGG